rnacentral:rRNA from 1 species
GACGGAGGAUGCAAGCGAUAUCCGGAAUGAUUGGGCGUAAAGCGUUCGCAGGUGGCUAUUCAAGUCUGCUGUCAAAGACCGGGGCUUAACCCUAGAAAGGCAGUGGAAACUGAACGGCUGGAGUGCAGUAGGGGUAGAGGGAAUUCCCAGUGUAGCGGUGAAAUGCGUAGAGAUUGGGAAGAACACCGGUGGCGAAAGCGCUCUGCUGGACUGCAACUGACACUGAGGGACGAAAGCUAGGGGAGCGAAAGGG